UGGGGAAUAUUGCACAAUGGGCGCAAGCCUGAUGCAGCCAUGCCGCGUGUAUGAAGAAGGCCUUCGGGUUGUAAAGUACUUUCAGCGGGGAGGAAGGCGAUAAGGUUAAUAACCUUGUCGAUUGACGUUACCCGCAGAAGAAGCACCGGCUAACUCCGUGCCAGCAGCCGCGGUAAUACGGAGGGUGCAAGCGUGAAUCGGAAUUACUUGGCGUAAAGCGCACGCAGGCGGUCUGUCAAGUCGGAUGUGAAAUCCCCGGGCUCAACCUGGGAACUGCAUUCGAAACUGGCAGGCUAGAGUCUGGUAGAGGGGGGUAGAAUUCCAGGUGUAGCGGUGAAAUGCGUAGAGAUCUGGAGGAAUACCGGUGGCGAAGGCGGCCCCCUGGACAAAGACUGACGCUCAGGUGCGAAAGCGUGGGGAGCAAACA
rnacentral:rRNA from 1 species